rnacentral:misc_RNA from 1 species
ACGAUUUCGGUUUACACCGUUCUCUACCUAUGUCUACGCGUACCACACGUUUCCUCGGGGGGCUUGCCCCCCGUUAGGACUCCACAUCAACCUUUUUGCAAUAGCAGUCAGCGUCUGAUAACUAAGUUAAUUAUUA